AGGAUCAACGCUGGCGGCGUGCCUAAUGCAUGCAAGUCGAACGGGGUCGCUUUCGGGCGGCUCACGUGGCGGACGGGUGAGGAACACGUGGGCAAUCUGCCCAUCGGUGGGGGGUAGCCCUCGGAAACGGGGGUAAUUCCGCAUGUGCGUGAUUGCCGAGUGGGGUAAUUACGGAAAGCCUUCGGGCGCCGAUGGAGGAGCCUGCGACCGAUUAGCUAGUUGGGGGUCACGGCUUCCCAAGGCGAUGAUCGGUAGC
rnacentral:rRNA from 1 species